rnacentral:misc_RNA from 1 species
GCGAAUGUCAUUUUGGUAAAUAACAACUAUAAAAUGGAACUCUGAAGAACUCUUCUCGUCAAAUAAACCCAAACUCCAAAUAACUACUUCCUCUCCGCUUUGAUUAAAGCUUGUUUUGCAAGAAAAUGGAAGUGGAUCAUGAAGUUUGCAACACACCGAGGCGCCGUGAGAGUCGAAUACCGGCAGCGUUGGCUUGUCCUCCGGCGCCGAGGAAGAAACCGGUUUUUUCUAAGAAAAGGAGCCCGCCGAAGGACGGGUAUUUUCAGCCGCCUGAUCUUGAAGCUCUCUUCAUGAUUGCACCAAGAAGGGAGGCCUGUGCUUGAUUAAUUAGCUGGGUCCUGAUGGUUAAGGUUGGCCUAUAAUUUUGUUCUGGUAUAUUAUAUAAGAUUUAUAAAUUUUAUUGUUCUUUUUAGGCCAUGCAAUGCAUUUUUGUUUCUCGAAGUAGAGUUCUUCAAAAAUGGUAGCUACUGUUGUAGAUAUGGUUUUAAUGGAGACUGUAAUUUUCCAGUACUAAUGUCUUAAUUAUAUUUUCUUUUGUUGUUUCUAUUUUGUUCUUUAACUAUGAACUAAUUUACAUGAAAAACAAUAGAGUUAGUUUCUUGAUGUGUGAUAAA